rnacentral:rRNA from 1 species
GAGUUUGAUCCUGGCUCAGAACGAAUGCUGGCGGCGUGGAUUAGGCAUGCAAGUCGAACGAUCUCGCAAGAGAUAGUGGCGAAAGGGUGAGUAACACGUGGGUAAUUUGCCCCCGAGACGGGAAUAACUUCGGGAAACCGAAGCUAAUACCGGAUGACGCCGUACCUCCGCAUGGUGGUACGGUGAAAGGUGUCCGCAAGGGUGCCGCUCAGGGAUGAACCCGCGGCCUAUCAGCUAGUUGGUGAGGUAACGGCCCACCAAGGCGAUGACGGGUAGCCGGCCUGAGAGGGUGGUCGGCCACAUUGGGACUGAGACACUGCCCAGACUCCUACGGGAGGCUGCAGUCGAGGAUCUUCCGCAAUGGGGGAAACCCUGACGGAGCGACGCCGCGUGGAGGAUGAAGGCCUUCGGGUCGUAAACUCCUGUCAGUCUGGAAGAAAAUCUGCACUAAUAUGUAGAUUAACCGUACAGGCAGAGGAAGCUCCGGCUAACUCCGUGCCAGCAGCCGCGGUAAUACGGGGGGAGCGAGCGUUGUUCGGAAUCAUUGGGCGUAAAGGGCAUGUAGGCGGCUUUGUAAGUCGGGUGUGAAAUCCCAUCUCUCAAGGGUGGAAUGGCAUUCGAAACUGCAAGGCUUGAGUUCAGGGGAAGAGAGCGGAAUUCUCGGUGUAGCGGU